rnacentral:tRNA from 1 species
GCGCUUAGCCUAGUGGUUAGGGUAUACGGCUCGGGAUCGUAAGGUCACGAGUUCGAUUCCCGACGGCGCG